AUUCCAGCUCCAAUAGCGUAUAUUAAAGUUGUUGCAGUUAAAAAGCUCGUAGUUGGAUCUCAGGGUGAGCUCAGUUGGUCGGCCUAAUUGGUCAGAACUGGCUGACUCUCCCUUGUUUCUGAAUCCCGGUCGGAGUUAAUUCUUCGUUCGUGGACUUCAGAUCGUUUACCUUGAAAAAAUUAGAGUGUUCAAAGCGGGCGUUUGCUUGAAUACAUUAGCAUGGAAUAAUGGAAUAGGACCCUGGUUCUAUUUUGUUGGUUUUGAGGACCAGAGUAAUGAUUAAUAGGGAUAGUUGGGGGCAUUCAUAUUUAAUUGUCAGAGGUGAAAUUCUUGGAUUUAUGAAAGAUGAACUUCUGCGAAAGCAUUUGCCAAGGAUGUUUUCAUUG
rnacentral:rRNA from 1 species